rnacentral:snoRNA from 1 species
CUGCAGCCCACUCGGCCGACUAGGUUCUUCUCAUGGAGCCCUGUGUGCAACGGUUGCAAGCAGCAGCCUGCUUGGGAGUGUUCAGCCUGGACCUUGUUUGGGUUGCCCCGAGGGGCCUUAGAGAUAGAG